rnacentral:rRNA from 1 species
UUAGAGGAAGUAAAAGUCGUAACAAGGUCUCCGUUGGUGACCGCGAGGGAUCAUUACCGAGUUUACAACUCCCAAACCCCUGUGAACAUACCUUAUGUUGCCUCGGCGGAUCAGCCCGCGCCCCGUAAAAAGGGACGGCCCGCCGCAGGAACCCUAAACUCUGUUUUUAGUGGAACUUCUGAGUAUAAAAAACAAAUAAAUCAAAACUUUCAACAACGGAUCUCUUGGUUCUGGCAUCGAUGAAGAACGCAGCAAAAUGCGAUAAGUAAUGUGAAUUGCAGAAUUCAGUGAAUCAUCGAAUCUUUGAACGCACAUUGCGCCCGCCAGUAUUCUGGCGGGCAUGCCUGUUCGAGCGUCAUUUCAACCCUCAAGCCCAGCUUGGUGUUGGGAGCUGCAGUCCUGCUGCACUCCCCAAAUACAUUGGCGGUCACGUCGAGCUUCCAUAGCGUAGUAAUUUACACAUCGUUACUGGUAAUCGUCGCGGCCACGCCGUUAAACCCCAACUUCUGAAUGUUGACCUCGGAUCAGGUAGGAAUACCCGCUGAACUUAAGCAUAUCAAUAA